GGGGAAUUUUCCGCAAUGGGCGAAAGCCUGACGGAGCAACGCCGCGUGAGGGAUGAAGGCCUCUGGGCUGUAAACCUCUUUUAUCAAGGAAGAAGAUCUGACGGUACUUGAUGAAUAAGCCACGGCUAAUUCCGUGCCAGCAGCCGCGGUAAUACGGGAGUGGCAAGCGUUAUCCGGAAUUAUUGGGCGUAAAGCGUCCGCAGGCGGUCUGUCAAGUCUGCUGUUAAAGCGUGGAGCUUAACUCCAUUUAGGCAGUGGAAACUGACAGACUAGAGUGUGGUAGGGGCAGAGGGAAUUCCCGGUGUAGCGGUGAAAUGCGUAGAUAUCGGGAAGAACACCAGUGGCGAAGGCGCUCUGCUGGGCCAUAACUGACGCUCAUGGACGAAAGCCAGGGGAGCGAAAGGGAUUAAAUACCCCUGUAGUCCUGGCCGUAAACGAUGAACACUAGGUGUCGGGGGAAUCGACCCCCUCGGUGUCGUAGCCAACGCGUUAAGUGUUCCGCCUGGGGAGUACGCACGCAAGUGUGAAACUCAAAGGAAUUGACGG
rnacentral:rRNA from 1 species